ACGGGGGGGGCAAGCGUUGUUCGGAAUUACUGGGCGUAAAGGGCUCGUAGGCGGCCAACUAAGUCAGACGUGAAAUCCCUCGGCUUAACCGGGGAACUGCGUCUGAUACUGGAUGGCUUGAGUUUGGGAGAGGGAUGCGGAAUUCCAGGUGUAGCGGUGAAAUGCGUAGAUAUCAAGAGGAACACCUGAGGUGAAGACGGGUUGCUGGGCUGAUACCGACGCUGAGGCGCGAAAGCUAGGGUAGCAAACGGGA
rnacentral:rRNA from 1 species